rnacentral:ncRNA from 2 species
AUAGAUCAUUAGGGGUGCCUUAAAAUAUCAGGCUGAGAUCAUACCCACAAUACCUGAUCCGGGUAGUGCCGGCGAAGGGAAAUGAGUAACCAAUGAA